rnacentral:lncRNA from 1 species
UGCCAUUAUCAUCCUUAUAUCAGUGGCAGCACGUGAGUUAACACGAAACGUACAUACAAGCAUGAUUGAAUACCCAUGUAGAAAGCUGCGCAUGGCACAUGAACCACAAGUGACUACUGUCAUUCCCCGGGAUGA